rnacentral:rRNA from 1 species
UACGUAGGGUGCAGGCGUUAAUCGGAAUUACUGGGCGUAAAGCGUGCGCAGGCGGUCUUUUAAGUCAGAUGUGAAAUCCCCGGGCUUAACCUGGGAACUGCGUUUGAAACUGGAGGGCUAGAGUGUGGCAGAGGGGGGUGGAAUUCCACGUGUAGCAGUGAAAUGCGUAGAGAUGUGGAAGAACACCGAUGGCGAAGGCAGCCCCCUGGGAUGAGACUGACGCUCAUGUACGAAAGCGUGGGGAGCAAACAGG